AUGAGGAAAGGUCAUAGAAAGAUCCUGUGUUUCUUUUACCCUGCAGCAUGCUCAAUGAGUUUGAGGCCUCAUUUGUCUACCUUCUCACAUGGCCAGGAGACUACUUGUGUCAAUCCCUCUGCUUCCCACCAUACUUCAUGCUACUCUACUCUGAUCCCAAAGAAAAGAGAUGAGAGGGGAUCAGGACUAAGAAAAAGGACACCGCCUCCCAGUGCCACACUGCACAAGUUUUGAUCUACUGUUGUCUUUCAUUUUGACAUUCUCUCCCUCCUUUUGCUGCAAUAGAUUGUGUCAGUUAAGGUUCAAUCAGAGAAGCAGAGCCACCAUAGACUAGAGAAUAUAUUAUUGGGAUCAGAACACACAUAAUUGUGGGAACUGGCAAAGGAGUUAUGGAAGACUGUUGCUAUGAGUGCCUUACAGUAGGAAUAAGUACCUUUCACCUGGGAGAAAAGAACUCCUAUCUGAAACUAAAGGAAGAGAUAGAACAGGACCUGGAAGAGCCAUGGGUCUGGCUUCUUCCACAUGUCCACAAGGUGAUCCAGUUGGGUCAAUGACAAUGUAUAUGAACUCCAGGGGUGUCUGGACUCCUGUAGGGGUAACUCUGACUUUCAGAGAUUAACUGCCACUUCUUGGCUUCUGGUGUCCAAAUUUUGUGCAAUUUCCUUCUUGGCCUACCCAGAUCUACAAAUAUAUGAAAAACAGAAUUGUGGAAGAUCUAGUUCUAAAUUAACUAAGUUGACAUCAUAUGAAGCUCCCAGAGGCUUCCUCUUGUCAACUUGAUAUUCGUAUAUGACUUCUAACUCCCAAAUAAAGACACAGAAAAAUCAUGUUUUGUCUAAUGA
rnacentral:lncRNA from 12 species